AACAGGAUUAGAUACCCUGGUAGUCCACGCCGUAAACGAUGUCGACUUGGAGGUUGUUCCCUUGAGGAGUGGCUUCCGGAGCUAACGCGUUAAGUCGACCGCCUGGGGAGUACGGCCGCAAGGUUAAAACUCAAAUGAAUUGACGGGGGCCCGCACAAGCGGUGGAGCAUGUGGUUUAAUUCGAUGCAACGCGAAGAACCUUACCUACUCUUGACAUCCAGCGAACUUUCCAGAGAUGGAUUGGUGCCUUCGGGAACGCUGAGACAGGUGCUGCAUGGCUGUCGUCAGCUCGUGUUGUGAAAUGUUGGGUUAAGUCCCGCAACGAGCGCAACCCUUAUCCUUUGUUGCCAGCGGUUCGGUCGGGAACUCAAAGGAGACUGCCGGUGAUAAACCGGAGGAAGGUGGGGAUGACGUCAAGUCAUCAUGGCCCUUACGAGUAGGGCUACACACGUGCUACAAUGGCGCAUACAAAGAGAAGCGACCUCGCGAGAGCAAGCGGACCUCACAAAGUGCGUCGUAGUCCGGAUCGGAGUCUGCAACUCGACUCCGUGAAGUCGGAAUCGCUAGUAAUCGUGGAUCAGAAUGCCACGGUGAAUACGUUCCCGGGCCUUGUACACACCGCCCGUCACACCAUGGGAGUGGGUUGCAAAAGAAGUAGGUAGCUUAACCUUCGGGAGGGCGCUUACCACUUUGUGAUUCAUGACUGGGGUGAAGUCGUAACAAGGUAACC
rnacentral:rRNA from 1 species